UGCAUGGGAGUUCAUUACAGCGAUUAGAAAAACACAAAAUAAUGAUGCACAUAGCAAUGGCAAAACCUUGUCUGAAUGUUUUCCUUCUCUUUGAAAUGGCUUUUCUAGGCCUCAAAGUAAGCAAUCAAAUUACAUGAUUGCUGGAGAGCAGGGAGAGAAAGAAUGCUUGGAGCAAGACAAAAGGAAAACUACUUCUUAAGAAACCAGAGGACAACAUCUUUAGCUAACCACAACUGCAGAACAGCCAUUGAUUUAGGUUCUGCACAGGAGCAACUGUGGCUGCUUGCUGUUUAUCAUCCUGUGAGGGACUGAUGUCUGUUGCCCUGAGCUACAGAAAAAGGCCAAUGAGAAUUAAUUUGACAUCAAAAGAAGAAGAGCCAAGCCAUAUAAGCCUUCAUCAAAGGAGUAAAGCAGACGUGUAAUUGGGUGCUCAGAGUGAGUUAGGAUUCUGCUCACUCACCACAAGGCUGCAGAGGACGGAUCUGCUCAUGUACCCAGCCCUGGAGCGACCAGCACGGGGGGCUCCUACCUGCACCCCUCUCAUUUCCUUACUGCUCCCCACACAAAAGCAAUACAGCCCUUGCAGUGACUUCCCUGAGGUUCCUUAUCAGUGGGAAUAAUUAGUGUGAACACUAAAAGCCCCUCAGUGGGAAUAAAGGGUCAGCCCCACAUCCCCCA
ensembl:lncRNA